GCCGUCAAAGAUUAAGCCAUGCAAGUGUAAGUGCAUGUCGUGUAUGACAACGCAACUGCUCCAUUAAAUCAGAUAUAAUUUAUUGGUUCAUAUCUGACUUGUUGGAUAACUGUAGUAAUUCUGGAGCUAAUACAUUAACCGAAGAAAGUCCUAUCGUGCGGUAGACGGGUUUAUUAGAUCAAAACCAUCGUAUGAAAAUACGUUUGCUAUGAUAACUCUGGAUAACCAUACUACUCGCAUGGCCUCGUGUCGGCGGUUUUUCCAUCAAGUAUCUGCCCUAUCAACUUUAUGGUAGGAUAUAGGCCUACCAUGGUUUUUACGGGUAACGGGGAAUCAGGGUUCGAUUCCGGAGAGGCAGCCUGAGAAACGGCUACUACAUCCAAGGAAGGCAGCAGGCGCGUAAAUUACCCAAUCACGGAUGGGUGGAGGUAGUGACGGAAAGUAACAAUACGGACUCAUAGAGGCUCCGUAAUUGGAAUGAAAGGACUUCAAAAAGGUUUUUGAAGACUAUUGGAG
rnacentral:rRNA from 1 species